UACGUAGGGACCAAGCGUUGUUCGGAUUUACUGGGCGUAAAGGGCGCGUAGGCGGCGUGGUAAGUCAGCUGUGAAAUCUCCGAGCUUAACUCGGAACGGUCAGCUGAUACUGCUGUGCUAGAGUACAGAAGGGGCAAUCGGAAUUCUUGGUGUAGCGGUGAAAUGCGUAGAUAUCAAGAGGAACACCGGUGGCGAAGGCGGAUCUCUGGGCCGUAACUGACGCUGAGGAGCGAAAGCAUGGGGAGCGAACAGG
rnacentral:rRNA from 1 species